UACGUAGGGACCAAGCGUUGUUCGGAUUUACUGGGCGUAAAGGGCGCGUAGGCGGCAAUUCAAGUCAUCUGUGAAAUCUCCGGGCUUAACUCGGAACGGUCAGAUGAUACUGCUUUGCUAGAGUACAGAAGGGGCAAUCGGAAUUCUUGGUGUAGCGGUGAAAAUGCGUAGAUAUCAAGAGGAACACCUGAGGUGAAGACCGGUUGCUGGGCUGAAUACUGACGCUGAGGCGCGAAAGCUAGGGUAGCAAACGGG
rnacentral:rRNA from 1 species